rnacentral:lncRNA from 1 species
GUUUCUGGUGCUGUGUUAUUUUCAAUAAUGAUUCAAGGAGACGAAGAUGAGAAUCUCAAUUUCGAUGAUUCUUUGUAUAUUUCUUCGUUAAAAACUUGCGGCAGUUCGUUAUUUCAUUAUGUUACUUUGAUUCUUUGAGUUCACCGGCAUUGGCGGCAGUAAUUGGUGAGAUUGCGGUUCUUUUCGAUCUUGUGGUGGAUAUGAUUUGACGAUUCUUGAGUUUCGGAUUCAUUGUGAGUGGUGUUAUUGUCACCAUUGAAGAUACUGAUUGCAAAAUUGAAUUUUUCUCUCUUCAAUCCUUGAGGUUUGUCUACAUUGUUCAUCAAAUUCUGUUGAAGGUUAGCUAUUUGAUUUGUCGGUUUAGUGGUGUAUCUUUCGAUUCUUGAAGUUUUGCCGAAGAUUCAGUUUUGAUUCUUUCAAUGGAUGAUGAUUUGAUAGUUUGAUUCUUUGAUUUUGCUACUCGUAUGUG